rnacentral:rRNA from 1 species
UGGGGAAUAUUGCACAAUGGGCGAAAUCCUGAUGCAGCGACGCCGCGUGAGGGAUGACGGCCUUCGGGUUGUAAACCUCUUUCAGUAGGGACGAAGCGCAAGUGACGGUACCUGCAGAAGAAGCACCGGCUAACUACGUGCCAGCAGCCGCGGUAAUACGUAGGGUGCGAGCGUUGUCCGGAAUUACUGGGCGUAAAGAGCUCGUAGGCGGUUUGUCACGUCGUCUGUGAAAUCCUAGGGCUUAACCCUGGACGUGCAGGCGAUACGGGCUGACUUGAGUACUACAGGGGAGACUGGAAUUUCUGGUGUAGCGGUGGAAUGCACAGAUAUCAGGAAGAACACCGAUGGCGAAGGCAGGUCUCUGGGUAGUAACUGACGCUGAGGAGCGAAAGCAUGGGUAGCGAACAGG